rnacentral:rRNA from 1 species
CCAAGGAGUCUAACGCCUGCGCGAGUCAUUGGGUGUUUCGAAACCUAAAGGCGCAAUGAAAGUGAAGGCAGCCUCCGGUUUGCCCAGGUAGGAUCCCCGUUCACUCUGCGGGGCGCACUACUGGCUCGUCUCUUCCUCUUCGAGGCGAGGCGAAGCAAGAGCGUGGGCGUUGGGACCCGAAAGAUGGUGAACUAUGCCUGAGCAGGACGAAGCCAGAGGAAACUCUGGUGGAAGUCCGUAGCGAUUCUGACGUGCAAAUCGAUCGUCGAACUUGGGUAUAGGGGCGAAAGACUAAUCGAACCAUCUA